AGAAAAGGUUUCUUUAUUUGAAACAGGCAAUGAGAAUGAUGCAAGCGAUUUUACUGAUCUUCCUGAAAAAAAUGGUCAUAAAAUUUUGGCGCCAUCUGAAAGUGGUAUUUGUUCUUGUGGUGCAGAGUGGGAUAAACGUUCUAUUCAAGAUGAAUGGUUGUACGUAGACUUGUGUUCAGUUGCGUACUUUUGUUCAAUCCAUGAUGUGAAGGUGUAUUGUAGACCUUGCUCCUCUUGUGCUACGAAAAAGCAUUAUGAUGGCAUUGAAAACAGGAUUGUAUGGUUUGGAUCAUAUGCAAUAUCUCAUGCCGUUCUAAAGAUUACAUUCGGCUUUUC